rnacentral:rRNA from 1 species
AGUCGAGGGGUACAGUCCCGCCUUCGGGCGGGAGCUGACGACCGGCGCACGGGUGCGUAACGCGUAUACAAUCUACCUUAUAGAGGGGGAUAGCCCAGAGAAAUUUGGAUUAAUACCCCAUAGUACUUAGAGACAGCAUUGUCUUUUUGUUAAACAUUUAUGGCUAUAAGAUGAGUAUGCGUCCUAUUAGUUAGUUGGUAAGGUAACGGCUUACCAAGACCGCGAUAGGUAGGGGUCCUGAGAGGGAGAUCCCCCACACUGGUACUGAGACACGGACCAGACUCCUACGGGAGGCAGCAGUGAGGAAUAUUGGACAAUGGGCGAGAGCCUGAUCCAGCCAUGCCGCGUGCAGGAAGACGGCCCUAUGGGUUGUAAACUGCUUUUAUACAGGAAGAAACACUCCCUCGUGAGGGAGCUUGACGGUACUGUAAGAAUAAGGAUCGGCUAACUCCGUGCCAGCAGCCGCGGUAAUACGGAGGAUCCAAGCGUUAUCCGGAAUCAUUGGGUUUAAAGGGUCCGUAGGCGGGACAAUAAGUCAGCGGUGAAAGUCUGUGGCUCAACCAUAGAAUUGCCAUUGAUACUGUUGUUCUUGAGUGUUUAUGAAGUGGUUAGAAUAUGUAGUGUAGCGGUGAAAUGCUUAGAUAUUACAUGGAAUACCGAUUGCGAAGGCAGAUCACUAAUAAAAUACUGACGCUGAUGGACGAAAGCGUAGGUAGCGA